UUUGACCACCCCGCUCCUAUUCGAUGGGUGACGUCCCCGUCAAUCUCUCCGUCCCCCUGAAUCACAGACCCAAGAUAUCGGACACUGGCCCUCUUGGCGAUGGCCUGAGAACCAAGCAUCACGUCCCUGCCUACCCCGCUCGGCUCGUCGCCAAAUUUGCACUCCAGGUAUUCCGUCUUAGAUCUGCUUAUUUUGAAACCUUUAGACUCGAGGGUCUGUCUCCAUACCUCUAACCUU
rnacentral:lncRNA from 1 species